rnacentral:rRNA from 1 species
GACGAACGCUGGCGGCGUGCUUAACACAUGCAAGUCGAACGGAAAGGCCCUGCUUUGGUGGGGUGCUCGAGUGGCGAACGGGUGAGUAACACGUGAGUAACCUGCCCUGGACUUUGGGAUAACUUCAGGAAACGGGGGCUAAUACCGGAUAAGAGCACCUGCUGCAUGGUAGGGGUUGGAAAGGUUCGGCGGUUGGGGAUGUACUCGCGGCUUAGUAGCUUGUGGGAGGGGUAGUGGCUUACCAAGGCUAUGACGGGGAGCCGGCCUGAGAGUGUGACCGGCCACAUUGGGCCUGAGAUACGGCCCAGACUCCUCCGUGAGGCAGCAGUGGGGAAUAUUGCACACUGGGCGGAAGCCUUAUGCAGCAACGCCGCGUCCGGGAUGACGGCCUUCGGGUUGUAAACCGCUUUCGCCUGUGACGAAGCGUCAGUGACGGUAAUUGGUAAAGAAGCACCGGCUAACUACGUG